CCUACGGGUGGCAGCAGUGGAGAAUUUUGGACAAUGGGCGCAAGCCUGAUCCAGCUAUUCCGCGUGUGGGAUGACGGCCCUCGGGUUGUAAACCACUUUAGUAGAGGACGAAAAGGAGCUAUCGAGUAAAUCGCUCUGCUGACGGUACUCUAAGAAUAAGCACCGGCUAACUACGUGCCAGCAGCCACGGUAAUACGUAGGGUGCGAGCGUUAAGCGGAAUUACUGGGCGUAAGGGGGGUGCAGGCGGCUGAGUAAGACAGAUGGGAAAUCCCGGGCUUAACCUGGGAACCGCAUAUGUGACUGCUUGGCUAGAGUGCGUCAGAGGGAGGCGGAAUUCACCGUGUAGCAGUGAAAUGCGUAGAUAUGUGGAAGAACACUGAUGGCGAAGGCAGCUUCCUGGGACGCAACUGACGCUCAUACACGAAAGCGUGGGGAGCAAACAGGAUUAGAUACCCGAGUAGUC
rnacentral:rRNA from 1 species